CAAGGAAUAAAGUCAAUCAGGCAAAGCUAAAAGGACCUGCAUGUCUUGGGAGGCGUAGCAUGGCUGUUACUCGCCAUCAGAUGGCGAUGGAGAGGAAUCUUACCUCUGAUGCCGAGAUAGGUAGAGGUGAUGUCUACUUAAGAGCCCAUACGAGCAAGGACAAAGUCGUCCAGUAUCCUGACCUUGUUCAAAAACUAGAUGAGCUUUAUAGUAGCAAUCCUGCUUCUAA